rnacentral:rRNA from 1 species
UGGGGAAUAUUGCACAAUGGGGGGAACCCUGAUGCAGCGAUGCCGCGUGGAGGAAGAAGGUUUUCGGAUUGUAAACUCCUGUCUUAAAGGACGAAAAUGACGGUACUUUAGGAGGAAGCUCCGGCUAACUACGUGCCAGCAGCCGCGGUAAUACGUAGGGAGCGAGCGUUGUCCGGAAUUACUGGGUGUAAAGGGAGCGUAGGCGGGAUUUUAAGUCAGAUGUGAAAUACGUGGGCUCAACCUACGGGCUGCAUUUGAAACUGAAGUUCUUGAGUGAAGUAGAGGCAAGCGGAAUUCCUGGUG